AGGCACGGUCGCCGCAGCCGUACCGCGCGGCCGCUCCUCCUGCUUCUCCCUGGACGACGCCCUCCUCCCCAUCCCGCGCGGGCGGGGCCCCGCGCUGCACCCCGCCGUGGUCGCCCUCGAGGACUGCAUCAUCGCCAGGGACCACGACAUCCAGGGCCUCCUCGUCGACAACCAACGUUUUCCCAUCAAGCAUCGCCGACCAGACCGCGUGCAUGAAGGUCGAGGUGAACACCGUCGCCGGCGAGCGUGGAGGUCGAGCAGAUCCUCGCCGACGUGCGGGUGCUGGCUGGCGUGCGCAUCACAUCGUCGGCGAGCCUCGCUGGUGGAGGCACACGGCGUUGUCCACAUGGAUCUGCGAAUCAGCCCACGAGCGCCGUCCGUUUCCAUCGACGAUGAAGGGCAUGCAUCAUCUGACGGAGGAGUGGAUGGGUUGGACAAGUUCUCGGAGCACUGCAAGUCAGCCUGUAUUUCCUUCCCAUUUUCAGUUUACUUGUGGCCUUUCCUGUAUUUCUAAGCCUAUGCUCUUCAUGUAAAGUGCUGCUUGUUGCUACAUCUCUGUCUGCCUUCGUAGUACCUUGUUACUCAUUGAUAAAUUAAGGUUUGAGGAAUUAUGCAUAUCCUCAACAUGCCAUCUAUCUCAUGGAACUCAUUUGUGUCUGAGUGUUGUUUCAGAAUCUAGGAGCGUGCUUACCACAAGACAGAAGUCAGAAGCACAUGCAUUUCCAAUUGAACUUGUCCCACCAAACAAUGUAAUUUAUUCAGUAAUAACUUGCCUUCAAUACUACAGGUGAUCCUUAGCAAGCUAUCCAUCUUGCCAUCAUCUGCUCGGGUCCUCUUAGCCCUCUUUGUACUGCUAUUUAGCUGAGACCUGGUAGUUAGCUGAACUCUAUUACUAUAAGAACGCUUGCUGUUGUACCAAAGCUUCCUCGUUUUUUGUUCUCAGAUGUUGCUGCUUUCAUAUUUGUCUGUGUAUCUUCAAUUUGCCUCGAAGAAGUUUCUGAUGUUACAUCCGUAAGUCAAGAGGAUUUAACAGGCACGUAAUCCUUGAAUUGUUUGCCCUGUACAGGUUGUUUGUUUGUCGUCUGAACCACUCAACCAAGAUGCUAUUAUUUGCUCCAACUCGUGUACUGAAGGGUAUAUAAGCAUCAGAGUAAGCUUAUUUUGAUGAAUAUAUGUGCAACACAGAGGUGCUUGUUUGCUCCCUUUCUUUUUAACAUAAUUUCAUAAUAUCAUAAGUUUAGUGCAAGGAUGUUGUCAAAUGUUUUUACAGAUUGUAAAAUUGUUGGAGCUGAGCGUUCUUUUAGCUAUAUAUCUCUCUCCACGCUUUCAAUCAGAUUCAGUAAGUUCAACAACAUCUGGUGAGAUUGUUACAGAUCAUCGUUGAUGGAAAUUGUGAUAUUGCUGUGAGACAGGUCGCAAGCAUUCACUUCAAGAACUUUGUUUCGAAAGCCUGUCACCUAUUGAUCCUGCUGACAAGUCCACGGAUCGUGAGAAUAUACUGGGCUUUGUUACUCAGUUAACGCUACUGUUAAGGUUAAUAACUUUUUUGCAAUCCACCUUCCAUUUUCUUAACAAGUAAACAUUUUCCUGUCAUAGCUUCUUGAUAGAAUUGUAGUGCACUGCAGUAUGUGUUUGGUUACUCUGGUAUAUUGAUGGUUCUUUUUACUGGAUACAUGUAGUUUUGAGUAAUGUAUUCACCAUGUUUAUUACUGUUGGAUUUCACUUAUUUUCCUUUACCUCGUCGAGGGAAAAUGGGCACCAUGUUUGGUUUCUGUCUAAUAGUAAUAGAAGCAGUUAAUUGCAGUUACGAAGGAUCUGCAAUCAUGAUUUCCAUUUUCCGUGUAAUAGAAGCAAUAUGUAGUAAAAUAAUAUUGACUGUGCCUUCACGAAACACAUAUAAUACAAGCCAUUCUAACUAGAAUUUCGUUAGUUCUGUAAAAAAAUUAUGGCCACUUUUCCUUUGUAUGAAACCUCCAUUUGUUGAGAAGCCUCCUACAAAA